rnacentral:rRNA from 1 species
CCUACGGGGGGCAGCAGUGAGGAAUAUUGGUCAAUGGACGAGAGUCUGAACCAGCAAAGUAGCGUGAAGGAUGACUGCCCUCUGGGUUGUAAACUUCUUUUAUAUGGGAAUAAAAUGUUCCACGUGUGGGAUUUUGUAUGUACCAUAUUAAUAAGGAUCGGCUAACUCCGUGCCAGCAGCCGCGGUAAUGCGGAGGAUCCGAGCGUUAUCCGGAUUUGUUGGGUUUAAAGGGAGCGUAGGUGGAUUGUUAAGUCAGUUGUGAAAGUUUGCGGCUCAACCGUAAAAUUGCAGUUGAAACUGGCAGUCUUGAGUACAGUAGAGGUGGGCGGAAUGCGUGGUGUAGCGGUGAAAUGCUUAGAUAUCACGAAGAACUCCGAUGGCGAAGGCAGUUCACUGGACUGCAACUGACACUGAGGCUCGAAAGUGUGGGUAUCAAACAGGAUUAGAUACCCGAGUAGUC